rnacentral:rRNA from 1 species
GAUGAACGCUGGCGGCGUGCCUAAUACAUGCAAGUCGAACGGAGAACAUCGUAGCAAUACUUUGUUCUUAGUGGCGAACGGGUGAGUAACGCGUUGGUGACCUGCCCCGAAGAGGGGGAUAACAGUCCGAAAGGACUGCUAAUACCCCAUGUGGUCUCAGGGAUUAGAUGCCCUGAGUCUAAAGGAGUAAUCCACUUUGGGAGGGACCUGCGUCCCAUCAGCUAGUUGGUAAGGUAACGGCCUACCAAGGCUUCGACGGGUAGGGGACCUGAGAGGGUGAUCCCCCACACUGACACUGAAAUACGGGUCAGACACCUACGGGAGGCAG